rnacentral:rRNA from 1 species
UACGGGGGGAGCAAGCGUUGUUCGGAUUUACUGGGCGUAAAGGGCGCGUAGGCGGCGUGACAAGUCACUUGUGAAAUCUCCGGGCUUAACCCGGAGCGGCCAAGUGAUACUGUCGUGCUAGAGUGCGGAAGGGGCUACUGGAAUUCUCGGUGUAGCGGUGAAAUGCGUAGAUAUCGGGAGGAACAUCAGUGGCGAAGGCGGCGAUCUGGGAAGUUACUGACGCUGAGGUGCGAAAGCGUGGGGAGCAAACAGG